rnacentral:sRNA from 1 species
UAUCACUCCUUACACACCUGUUCUCCCUAGAUUGCUCAAUGGCCUGUCUCUCUCGACUCCUAGACGCAUUCGUAUCAGGACCUAUCCCCUCCUCAUGCGCUAUUCGUCCUGCACUGUUCUGCACCGAACUUUUCUGCCGUGCAUUCCUUGUUGAUUUGAGGGACUGAAAGUUGGACAUUCUCAAGUCCAGCUGAUUGGGAUUGGUUUUGAUAAGACAAAGUGAACAGAAUGCGAAGGAUCCAUUAACGGGCUGAUAAUCGGCGAAGUGAGCAAUGCGAAGAGAUGAAGAGGU